rnacentral:rRNA from 1 species
CUACGGGGGGCUGCAGUGGGGAAUAUUGGACAAUGGGGGAAACCCUGAUCCAGCAAUGCCGCGUGUGUGAAGAAGGCCUGCGGGUUGUAAAGCACUUUCGGUUGGGAGGACUGCUUCUAGCACUAAUAUUGUUGGAAGUUGACGUUACCUUCAGAAGAAGCACCGGCUAACUCCGCUGCCAGCAGCCGCGGUAAUACGGAGGGUGCAAGCGUUAAUCGGAAUUACUGGGCGUAAAGCGCGCGUAGGCGGCUAGAUCAGUCGGGUGUGAAAGCCCCGGGCUUAACCUGGGAACUGCAUCCGAUACUGUCUAGCUUGAGUACAGGAGAGGAGAGUGGAAUUCCACAUGUAGCGGUGAAAUGCGUAGAUAUGUGGAGGAACACCAAUGGCGAAGGCAGCUCUCUGGCCUGAUACUGACGCUGAGGUGCGAAAGCGUGGGGAUCAAACAGGAUUAGAUACCCGUGUAGUC